AUACUUACCUGGCAGGGGAAAUACCAUGAUCAUGAAGAUAGAUGGUUUUCCCAGGGCAAGGCUUAUCCAUUGCACUCCAGAUGUACUGACCCCUGUGAGUUCCCCAAAUGUGGGAAAGUGGACUGCAUACUUUGUGGUAGUGGGGGACUUGUUCUCACUCUCCCCUG
rnacentral:snRNA from 1 species